AAGUCGUAACAAGGUUUCCGUAGGUGAACCUGCGGAAGGAUCAUUAUCACGUUAUCCACGUAUCAACCAUUGUGAACUAGUUUAUUGACCUUUGGAUUAGGAAGGUAGUGUUAUAUUAAACCGUUAUCAAACAAUUAAAUGAUUGGAAAUUGUUGAGGUUUAAUACGACCAAACAAAUUCGUUUGUUUACUUUCUAAUUCAGAGUGUAUUUAUUUUCCAAUCAAUUCUAUUUAUUAACCAUUAAAACCCAAAAUUUUUCUAAAUUUUGAACUGAUUUAAUUUCUUACUUUCAAAUUCAUUUUUGAGAGAAGAAAUAAAUGAUUACGAAACAUAAGAACAACUCUUAGCAACGGAUAUCUUGGUUCUC
rnacentral:misc_RNA from 1 species